UACGUAGGGGGCAAGCGUUGUUCGGAAUUACUGGGCGUAAAGGGCGCGUAGGCGGCACGGCAAGUCGGGAGUGAAAGGCCUGGGCUCAACCGAGGAACUGCUUUCGAGACUGCCGAGCUAGAGUGCGGAAGGGGCAACUGGAAUUCCCAGUGUAGCGGUGAAAUGCGUAGAUAUUGGGAAGAACACCGGAGGCGAAGGCGGGUUGCUGGGCCGACACUGACGCUGAGGCGCGAAAGCGUGGGGAGCAAACAGG
rnacentral:rRNA from 1 species